rnacentral:hammerhead_ribozyme from 1 species
CUUCAGCUGACAAGUCUCAAAUAUGGACGAAACGCGCGUCCUGGAU